UCGUAACAAGGUUUCCGUAGGUGAACCUGCGGAAGGAUCAUUCACAAGAUUAUAUUUUAUAUUACUUUGUGGAACAUUUGGUUGAAUUUACAUGUUUUAUUACAAAAAAUUAAUUAUAAUUAAAAAAAUAAUUUUAAGAAAACCUCCAACAACGGAUCUCUUGGUUCCCAGAUCGAUGAAGAGCGCAGCGAAUUGCGAAAUGUGAUGUGUAUUGCAGUGAAUCAUCAAUUCUUGAACGCACAUGGCACCCCUUUUAGGGGUAUGCUUGUAUGAGGGUGUUUAAUAUGAAAUUGCUUUGGCUUUUUUUAAAUAAAUGGUUUUUCAAAUUGUUACUAAUAGACGAAAGAAUCAGUGCAACAAGCUGUGUUGAAUCUUUCAUUAAAUCUUUUAGUUAACUACUUUAACUAUUUGCACCUCAUAUCAAGCAAGACUACCCGCUGAACUUAAGCAUAUCA
rnacentral:misc_RNA from 1 species